UAUAAAACAGCAACAUUCGAGAUAUAACUACACAUUUUCAAUAAAUAUAAAUAUGGACGUACACUACACAUUAAAAUUUUGAUUUACAUAAAAUAAUAAUAAUAAUUUAGCUUACGCUUACACUUAUAAUAUAGGUAUGUGACACAAGGGUGUAAUAUAAAAACAAAGGACAUAUGAUGGUGACGAACAUACAAAACUGAUACGCAUCAAGACAUGAGCAAAACAUAUUGCAAGGUAUGGUUUCACAAUUACAACAGGAGGUUGCAGAAAUCAAAAGCAAUAGAAGAGAUGUUGAUGAUCUUGUAGAAGUGGAGUCAAUUUUUAUUAGAUAUAAACUACGAAAUAUGGAAGAUUUUAAUAAAGCGAUUUUAGAAAUUGCUGCUUUGGGUGGCCGCAAUACCUACGAUUUUAUCUUCCGAGCGACACAAAAAAUCAUUUCAAACAAAUUUUCUUCAAAUUUCAGUUGGUUGGGCAGGAAAGGAAAACGUGUUUUUAAAGAUUUGUCGUUAUCAUCAUUAUUAAUAAAUGCGGCAAUCAAAACUAAGGGAUGUACAAUCAAGGACGCAGAAAUUGCAAUACAAAAAUGGUUGAGGCGAUGUAAUAAAAGGGCAAAGAAUGAAAACAAA